rnacentral:rRNA from 1 species
UAAGGUUAAGUUAGUAAGGGCGCACGGUGGAUGCCUAGGCACUAGGAGCCGAU